UAUAUAUUUCAUUCAUAAUAUGCACUUUACAGUUAAAAGGUAAAUUAAUAGUUAAAAUGUUCAGAAUAAUCAUUAGAAUAAAUAAGUCAUAUAUUUUUUGUUAAUACAUGUCAAUUAAUUUCAUAUUAUUCAGCUAAAACCUUAGAAAAAGUGGGGAAUCUAUUUUUUUUUUAUUUUGUUCCGCUUGGGAAUUAUUUAAUUGUUGCUAUCAGGAUAGUUUCCGGUGCACUAAAAGUAGAAGAGUCACACGAGGUGCUGCAGUAGUAACAUGUCUGUAAGAGUUAAGCCGUAAGAAGUGCUAAGAAGAUAUUGUCUUUAUGUUUAAAUGGAAGAAGCUGUAAUCCUCCAAGUUUAUUCCUCUUGAGGUAGAGAGGCCAAUGAGUUCUGACGGCAUUGUUGGGGCAUAAAAAAAGGCUAAAAGACUAGCAUGUACAAGACAUGUUGAAGACUCGUGUCCAAAUAAAUGUCUGUUAAAACC